CCCUUAGAUGUCCUGGGCCGCACGCGCGCUACACUGAUGCAUUCAACGAGUUUUACCUUGGCCGAGAGGCCUGGGCAAUCUUUUAAACCUGCAUCGUGAUAGGGAUAGAUUAUUGCAAUUAUUAAUCUUGAACGAGGAAUUCCUAGAAAACGCAGAUCAUCAAUCUGCAUUGAUUACGUCCCUGCCCUUUGUACACACCGCCCGUCGCACCUACCGAUUGAAUGGUCCGGUGAAGCCUCGGGAUUGUGGCCAGUUCACUUUAUUGGGAGUUGGCUGCGAGAACUUGUCUAAACCUUAUCAUUUAGAGGAAGGUGAAGUCGUANCA
rnacentral:rRNA from 1 species